rnacentral:rRNA from 1 species
CCAGACUCCUACGGGAGGCAGCAGUAGGGAAUAUUGCGCAAUGGGGGAAACCCUGACGCAGCAACGCCGCGUGCGGGACGAAGGCCUUCGGGUUGUAAACCGCUUUCAGCAGGGACGAAUUCCGACGGUACCUGCAGAAGAAGCCCCGGCUAACUACGUGCCAGCAGCCGCGGUAAUACGUAGGGGGCGAGCGUUAUCCGGAUUCACUGGGUGUAAAGGGAGCGUAGACGGCCGUGCAAGCCAGGAGUGAAAGCCCGGGGCCCAACCCCGGGACUGCUCUUGGAACUGCGUGGCUGGAGUGCAGGAGGGGCAGGCGGAAUUCCUGGUGUAGCGGUGAAAUGCGUAGAUAUCAGGAGGAACACCGGUGGCGAAGGCGGCCUGCUGGACUGCAACUGACGUUGAGGCCCGAAAGCGUGGGGAGCAAACAGGAUUAGAUACCCUAGUAC